UGAGCAAUCUGCCCUUCUCUUCGGAAUAAGCGUGGGAAACCGCGUCUAAUGCCGAAUACGACCUCCUUUCGCAUGAUCGGAGGUGGAAAGCUCCGGCGGAGAAGGAUGAGCUCGCGGCCUAUCAGCUAGUUGGUGAGGUAAUAGCUCACCAAGGCGAUGACGGGUAGCCGGCCUGAGAGGGUGACCGGCCACACUGGGACUGAGACACGGCCCAGACUCCGUAGGAG
rnacentral:rRNA from 1 species